ensembl:lncRNA
UGAAGAGCAUGUACACGCUACGGAUGGUAAGGAAGCCAUUGUUAAUUCAAAUGAAAUGACAGGUGGCCUUAAUGGAGUAACAUUGGACCUAAACGGAGAAACGACUGAACCGAAUAAGAAGAUGAUAGACCAUGAAAUACCAAAUAAAGAAAAAGAGAGUGACAUUGAACAAACAAAAACAACAUUUAAUAUUUUUUCUUACUUAAAUAUAAUUUAUAAAAGAUAUGGGUUAAUUGGUGAUGAAACAACUCGAUUUUUAUUACAUGCAAAUAAAAAAAGAAAUAAGUUAAAAAAUAAACUUUUAUAUAAAGUAAAAAAAGCUAGUAACAAAUAUAUUUCAAAAAUAUAUGAACCUGAGGUAGUUAAUGACAAAUAUAUAGAAUUAUUAUUAUUAGAUAUAGAAGUAUGUAUGUGUAGAUAUUUACAAAUAAAAACGGAAGUAAACAAUUUAAAAAUACCUUAUAGAUCAAAAUAUUGUUAUUUAAGAAGAUUAAAAAGAGCUUUAGAAAGGUUACAUUUUUUAAAUAAAGAAACAAACAAUAAAGUUGAUAAAUUAACAGAGUUACAAAUUAAAUGUUAUAAUGCAUAUAUAGAAAUAUCAUAUUUUUUAGAAAAUAAAAAAUAUGAAGAAUGUUUAUUAAAAAUUAAUGAAUUUAUAAUGUUAAUGAAAUUAAUAAAAAGAAUUACAUUAAGUGAUAUUAUUGACACUGAAAAAAAAGAAAAUAUAAAAACACAAUCAAAUAAUCAGAAAAAAAGAAAUACUGAUAUUUCUAUUAAAAGUAAUAUUACCAAUAAGAAUAAUCAAUUUAUUAAUAACAACAUUGGUAAUGCGAAUGGUCCUAUAUAUUCAUAUGACACAAUCAAUACAUCUGAUUUAAAUACCAACAGUACUAACGGUCAUAUUUCGAACAAUAUCACAAACAACAUAGAAAAUAAUUUAAUGAAUAAAAGUAACAUUAUCAUUGAAGAAGAAAAAAGAAUCAAUGAUAUGUUUGAAUAUUUUUUAUCUAUCGUUAAUUCGUAUGAACGUAUUUGUGUUUAUAAUAUAAAAAAAAAUAAAUCCAUCAAUAGUAACAAUAGCGGUAUGAUUACAUAUGAGAAAUUAGAAGAUGGUGAUUUUAAUAAAUACAUUAAUGAAAGCAUAAUUGAAUGUACACAUAAUGACACUGAUGUUACUAAUGUACUAUAUUAUCAAUUACAAAUACACUCAGUUGAAGGUGAUCGAACAACUAUUAUUUUGAAAAAUAUAAAAUUUAUUUUAAAAGAUUAUGAACAUAGUAAUAAUAUUAUUAGUUUAUUAAAAAUAAAAAAUAUAAUGGAUAAUAUAAAAUCUAAUAUUGUUAAUGAAAUAAUUUAUAAGUUAAAUAUAACUGUUGAUUUGAAAGUUAUUGCCAAAAAUAAAGAAUUUAUUUUAUUUAAUUUUUUGGAUCAAUAUGAAGUUAGUUAUUUAGUUAAUACAUAUGGUAAUAUUAUAUCGAAAUAUUUAGAAUGUUUAUCAGUUAUACAUGAGGAAAUAAUUAAAAAUACAAAUAAAAGCACAAAAACACGUAUUACUCCUACAACUGGUACAGCUACAGCUACACCAACAGCUACACCAACAGCUACACCAACAGCUACAUCAACAGCUACAUCAACAACAACUAACACUAUGGAUCUUAGAAAUACAUCUUCUACAACAAGUGAUAAAUUAAUUGAUAAAAUGUGGUGCAUGUUAGAACAAUAUUUUCAUGCUCAAAAGUUAUUUAUAGAUAUAGAAAGAACGCUAUUAAUUUUAAUGAAAAAUUUAUAUAACACAUAUACAACUAUUGAUUCAAAAAACAAUUAUACAUUUAUAAAUAAAAAAACAACACAUGAUAUAAUAGAUUCUAUGCCUCUACUACAUUCAGUAUUAAGGUAUAGUGAUAUGUUAAUACAAAACAUUGAUGAAUUAAAAAAUAUUGAACACAAUGAUGUUUUUAUUAAUAUAUUAUUAAUUAUUAAAAAUGCAAAAUGUUUAUCUCUAGCUUGUUAUUAUACAUUAAUUCAAAAACAAGCUGAAGCCUAUGUAUUAUUUGAUCAAAUCAAAAUAAGAAAUUAUGUAUAUGUUAAAAACAACAAUAUUAAAGAUAUACACAAUCCUGCAUUGUUAAGAAUAGCCAUUUUAUUUAAUAGAUUACAAGAUUUAGUUUUACUUAUUAAUGAAAAAUAUUAUUUAAGACAUUUAGCAAUUUAUGCAUUACAAAUCAAAAAUAAAUCACAAACAAAUAUAGAUAAAAAUCUAUUUUCUGUUGAUAACUCACUUUUUAAUUAUAAAAUGAAUAAAAUAUCAUUUAAUCCUUUGCAUAUUGAUAUGGUUAAAUUGUGUAAAGAGGAAGAAUUGAUUAAGCUAGAAA